rfam:Bombyx mori DNA, contig: Bm_scaf2_contig1738, strain: p50T/Dazao, build 2, whole genome shotgun sequence.
UUAACAUAAAUUUGUAUGGAGUUAGAACGGUUACCUACGUUUGCCGCUAGGGGCGCUGUUCCAACUGCAUACAAAUUUGAUUUA